UUUAAUGGUGUAAUACGUUUCUUCUGAUCAGAUUUAUAACCUGAUCUGCAUCAUGGGAUGUACCUGAGAAAGUAAGAAUGUUUGAAGCAAUGUUUCUUUCCUAAGCACAGCUUAUCGCAGUAGUGAAUGCCAAGCAGGUCUGAAGGAUGGGGCAAUUUCCUCAUCAAUUAGAGGUGUGUAUAUGUGGGAAAUUGCACCAACUUAAAUGCAUUCCACCUGAGCUCAUCUGGCCUAUUUUUAUAGUGAAAAAUAUCUUUUUUUUUUUUUUUUUUUUUUGCUAAUGCUGGUUUCUUCACAUCACUUGUAAUGAUACUUGGAUCUCAAGCGCAAAUGAUGCAUGAGUCAUUGCUAGUCUUCUAGGUGCUGUAUGGGUAAUACCAACUUACAGUAAGUUUACAUAAAAACCAUUUAAAAUAAAUGGACAAGGGCUGCUUCAAAAGUAAUGCCUCCUAUUUUAUUAUGUUGGCUCAUGAUGUUAGAGGUGAAUGUUGGUGAUAUGGCUAUAGAGGUUGGACUUUCCACCAAUAUUCUGUUACACUUUGUUGCUGUGAGACAGAUGACAGCAGAGGAGCAGUCCAGCAAAUGGUGUAUGACAUGGAAGUGCAGAUGAAGCAAAGGUGUGGAAUUGAAAUCCUCUAUGAGGACAAAACAGCACUCAGUGACACUAAUCAAUGCUUGCUGAAUGUUUAUGGAGACCAAACAGUGGGUGUGAGCUCAGUGAGGCGGUGAGUGGUGCAUCUCAGCAGUGGUGACAGCGAUGUGAAAGAGAAGCCAUGUUCUGGACAACCCUGCUGAUUUUUAUGAGUGCGGCUCGCAGGCUCUUGUUCAUCUGUGGCAAAAAUGUGUAGCUAAUGGUGGUGAUUAUUUUGAACAAUAGUGUUUUGUGGCAGAGAAUUUUCUCUAUCAAAAAGUAUUACUGUGUUCUUUGUAUCUGUUGCAGUUUCAGUGUAAAUAAGUAGGAGGCAUUACUUUCGGAGUGACCCGAGCAUUUUGUUUCAGUUUUUUAUGCAUAUUUUAGCUGAGUACUCAUCUGAAGUAGCAAAGUGAGAGUGCUCCCAGCUCUGCUGGAGGUGUCUGGUUUGUGGUCACCCAUGCUGCAGAGCAUGGUCAAUAUGGCCAUUCCCUGAAAGAGAGGGUGCAGGUCAAAAGGCUGUUUUGACAAAGAGGCAUGCAUAUGGCCCUCCUGAACCAUGGAAUAUUUAAAUAUUGUGUUUUUAACCUGGAAGUAUCACAUUGAUUCUGUAUUGCCUAACUGUACAAAAUCAGAGGCAAUAAAAAACCCCUGCAGUUGAAAACUUUCUAAUAAAACUGAGUUUAGCAUGGAAUAAGAUGGAAAGAACAUGGGAGAAAAUCAUCGGGAGGGAGAAAUUCAAGUUUGAUAAUUACAGAUAGUUGGAAUGUGAAUUAUUAUGAAUAACAUUGUUUUUCCAUAAAUGUUUAUUUUUCAAAUGAAAAAGGACAAGUUCUUUGGAUUCUGUAGAGAAAACAAGAACAGCAACAACAGCAAAGCCAAUAUCAAAACAUAACACUAUUUCCUUGAAAAAAAAAAGUGGAUUUUUCUCCAAAAUUUUUUUUUUUGUCAACAGUUGAUAGAAAAUACUUUUCUUGAUCUGACCAGUUCUCAUUAAAAUAUCUUGCUGUAACUUCUGUGACAUAAUGUAAGCAGCUGAGUCAGGAAAAAGUCACGACAGUAUAAAGAAUGUCAUCUGCUCACAACCCAGGGCAGCUCCCUCACUGUAUUGACCUAAUUACCAUUAUCUGUGAAAAACAAACAGAAAAUUCACCUUUAUCUGAGGAUGGUAGAUUUUUUAGCUCUUUUUCUGCCCUAUGCUUCCACCCAUGUGAAAGGGCGAGCUGAGCUCUCUGUGGCUCAUGCUGGAUAUUCCAGACUCACCACAUCAGCUCAAGCUGCAGAAGCCUCAGUAUGGAUGAUGGCAAAUGGGCAAAGAGGAUAUAGUCUAGAUGGCAGAUAGGUGAGAAGAAAGGAGAUGGGGAAGUUGCUGAGCUGGCAGUGAAGAAGCCACUGCCCCACGUUUUUGAAAUAAAUUUGAUAGAAAAAUCUGAGCACAAUAACCUGGAAACCUUCAGUGCUGUUUCUACAGAAUCAUAUUUGUAGAAUAUAACUGCAGUUUUUAUACACUAAAUUGUUCAUUAAAAUAAAAUUAGUUUUCAUUAGGAUUAUUGCCAAUAACAAGGAUUAUUUUCACCCAAGUAUGCCCCGUGAUCUAGUCUUAUUUUUCCCUAUUCCAAACUGACCCAUAUCAGUAAGUCUGAGAGACAAAUACACUGCCAUCAUGCCAUUUGUACUUUUAUAUCAAAGCAUUAAUUAUUUACAUGAAGCUAUUUCCCAGCUCUGGGAGAAAAAAAAAAAGAAGAAAAAAAGAUCAAGAAAUUUAAUGCUUUUCUUAACAUACACAGAUUCUACUUUUUACUUAAUUUUCAUAUUAAUUAGCACUCAUACAAUAGAGCUCAUACACAGGGCAUGCAUUAGCAUGCAUUAGAGGAUGCAUUUUCAGCCCACAGUUUGGAUAUUCUUACUUCCUUUAUUCAGUGGUAGAGUUGAAGUUUAUCUCAAAUAAAUCUGUCUGUCUGCCUUAGCUGCAGCCGUCUUCCAGCACCUGUCUCCACAGCGAAAGCUGCAGAUUAGAUAAUUGCUGCCAUUCAGCUGUAGCCACGUGCUCUCUGUUUGUACAACUAGGAUCUGUUUUCCUAGAAAAUCAGAACACUCUUUGAUGCCUUAAGUGCUGCAGGCAUACCUGGUAUUUGUUCUGAAGUGUUUGUUCUUAGGAGUAUUCUGAUGAUCAAUAUACAUCCGUUUUCAAUCAGUUAACUCUUUAAACAUAUAUACAUAAUAGGGUUCAUCUAACCAAAAUCAAAGUGGGUAUGUCCAUUGCAUUAUAAGGUGAAGUUACAUGAAGCAAAUCAGGGCUAGAAUGAUCUCAUCUUGCACUAAAAUCCCUUAAAAACAGUUAAUUUUGAAGCUGUUGAUUUAUUUAUUACUUAGUACACAGUGAUUCAUACUCUGUGAGUCAGGUCAGAUUUUGUUUACAGUCAUAUUUUUUAAAUAAUCCCAAAUACAAUUUAGAACAACUUCCUCUGUCUUUAGCUGUGCUAACUAGCACUGUAAUAGAAGUAGGGUGCCUUUUGGGGAAGAAAAUGUGCUCUGUGAAAGGGCGGAAUUAUCUAACCUUAUGUCACUUAGAGCACUCAUAAAAAAUCCAUAAAUGGUCCUUGCUAAAGCACAUCAUGUGGUCACUGAAUUAGAAAUGCGGGGAUGGAAUAGAUUUCCAAAGGUUACAUUGUUCAGUCCCCUGGCGCUGGGGAAGAAUCAAAUACAAUGGAGUUUCCCACAGAGAAUUUUAUCUGGAACAUAUUUUUUUAGAAUUUCUGCCAAAAGACAUUUGAGGGUGUCCUGUUCGAGAUUUUUCCUCUCAAUUUUACCUUAGUAUUUGGCCUAUAUAGCCUUUACUGAAAGUUACAUUGAGUUCUUUUUGUCAUUCUUUCUGGUGAACAAUGGGUACCAAUCUAUCACUGUCUUUCUUAUUAACAGCUUUCUGUACCCUGGAAGAUUUAUCAACUCCUUACAUGCCUAGACUAAAGGAACCCCAUUUCUGCGGUCUUCCUUCAUGGAUAAUGCAUUCUGAGUCCUCUUCUCCAUCUUGCUGUUUGCUGCUGUGUGAUUUCCACAGUGACUACCGGUGUUUUGGAGGAUGGUGUUGAAGACUGCUUCAGCUGCACUUUUCUGGGGAGCAAGGAGGCAAUCCCUACCCAGAUCUUGCCUGCAAAAUUCUUGACUGCAGGAGGCGUUCUUUUCCUUCCUUUCUGGUGAUACUCCAUGUUGACUAACAGCUCAUUCCUAACAUGUUAGAGAAUGCACGUCCUUCUUCCUUAUUUGUCAUUUUGAGUUUCUCCUUACUAGUUAUUGCGAUCUGUAUUUCCUUCCUUCCUUCCUUCCUUCCUUCCUUCCUUCCUUCCUUCCUUCCUUCCUUCCUUCCUUCCUUCCUUCCUUCCUUCCUUCCUUCCUUCCUUCCUUCCUUCCUUCCUUCCUUCCUUCCUUCCUUCCUUCCUUCCUUCCUUCCUUCCUUCCUUCCUUCCUUCCUUCCUUCCUUCCUUCCCUCCUCUCUCCGUCCCUCCGUCCCUCCCUCCUUCCCUUCCUUAAUUCUGGGUUAUGUCUUUACUAAGACAAUUUUGAAUUUUGGAUUUGUUUACCAGUCUUCUAUAACCCUUCAGUAACCCUAACACAUCUACAGAUUUUAUCCAUUAACUUUGAAGUGCAUAUGUUUAAUGAAAUGUUGAAGACAGUUGGGCCUGAAAUCUCAGAGGAAACCAGCUUGAAAGGAAGACCCUUUUUGGUACUGACAGCUAUUCUUACAGAAGAGCUUUUCAGACCACAUACUGUCUUUUAUGAUUUAUUUCAUCCAGAUGACAUUUCUCUUAUUUUCCUCUGAUAAUUGAAUAUGUAAAAUACAAAAAGCCUCCUUGAACUCAGAACAUGGCAAAUUUUGUUUUUCUUUAUUCAGUAUUCCAGUUAUCCUGUCCAAGAAGGAAAUUAACUUGGUUUGACAUAAUUUGUUCUUGAAAAGUCUAUUUUGGCUAUUUUUAUUAUUCUGCAUGUAAGUUCACCAUUUGCACAUUUAUUCAUUUUUUCCUGUAGUCAUGUAGUUAGGUGAAAUAAUCUGUUUUCUUUGAAUCCUCUAUUAUUCCUCUCUAUAAGAUACCCGAUUUCUUGUUUUCUGAGACCAUCUCUAUUUAAUAUGACUCCUCACAUGUAAUUACUGGAGCUUAAAGUAAUGUUAUUUAUUUCUUUAUGUAAUUGAAGGUAAAUUUAAUCAUGUCCUCGACAUUUUAAUAUAUAAAUCUCAUUUAGAAAUAUUAGAUACUAUGUCUUAACUACUGAAAUUCAGAUGUUGUCUUUCCUAAUAUUUUAGAAGGCUUGAAAACACCUUGAAAGAGUCGCUAUCAUAAAACUAUGCUUUAGCUCCCGGUAAUAUUCCCCACAACAUCCAAAAUACUCAUUUGUGGUGGUAUUUGAAAUAACAAAAUCCACUUUCACAUAGGACACAUUCAAAACUAGUUCACUGCAGUUGUUUGGAAGUAUUUCACAUUUUGUUCCCUGAAACAUUUUUUUCAGAAUUACCAUUGGAACAGUACAGUUGGAAGGAACCCACAAAGAUCAUCGUGUCCCUGCUGCCUGACUGCUGGAGGGCUAACCAAAAGUGAAAGCACGUCAUUAGUAAGGGCAUUAUCCAAACUUCUUGAAUGCAGAAGCCUUGUAAGUGCCAUGGGAAAUAGCGGGAGGCAAUAUGAGAUGUUUUAGCUAUAAAUGUCUGUCUUAUGAACAUCUUACUGAAGAUGCUAUGAGCUUCUUAGACAUAUAGACUAAGAAGUGCCAUCCAGAGGAGGUCCAUGUGCAAAAUUUAGCAUUCUAAUUUCUGAUCUACAUGUAAAUAUUCCCUGGAAAAUGUAUAUACAUUACAAUAAUUUGUAAAAGCAGGCUUGUUGUGUGUGGCAGAUUUACUGUGGAUACUACUGUUUCUCUGAAAUAGUGCUACAACUGAAAACGCAACAUCAAAAUUGAAGCAGAAGACGGCUAGCAUUUGGAUCCCAAACUGAUUUGAAAGUGUCACAUGGUCUGGAAUGUCUUUUUCAGUGUUUUUUGUUUUUUUUUUCCACUGUGCUACUGGAUCUUCUAGUACAGCAGCAAACUGAUCUACUUGCGCGAAUAGUUUCAAAGUCACAGGGUUUUAGAAAGCACCAAUGAUACCUAGUAUUGUUGCUGUAAUUUCAGAAAUGUUAUAAGUCAGGGUUUUUCUUCAUCAUUAAAACAUGUUCUGUUGUUAAGUUAGAAGAAUACUACAGGAUGUGGAUCCUGUUGUUUGGAAAACAAGGAAUUGAGGUGUGAGAAAUUAAUGGAAAUUCACAUUUACAGGAAAAAAAAAAGCCUAGUUUCUGGAAUGGUACUGGAAAUUGUUUGCUGAAUGGUUGUUAAGAAGUUUAAUGUUUCCUGUAUGUUAGUCUGUCUUUAGACCUGAAAAUAAUGUUGUCUGCUUUUUUAUUUAUAUGUGACAAGACUUAGAAGUAUCUUUGAUUCAUGAGCAGAAACAGCAGAAAGAAGAUGAUAAAGAAUAACUCUGGUUAUAAAUUAAAGUUAAUAGACUUUUUUUUUCUUUUAAACCCACAUCUUUUGUUAACAGAAUUUUUUCUGCAUUGUUACUGAUGCCUUCAUGCCUGAGAAGUUUUAUUUGCCUGUGUGCAAAUGGAGCAACUGUAUGAAAUUAAAGUAAAAUGCUGCUCUAACUUAGCUGUUAGGUUGCAAAGUUAGCACACUGAUUUUUUUCUUCUGGUACAUGUUCUUUUUAUAAAGGAACUUUAUCUUGUGGCUAUUGAUAUAUUGCAGAUGUAAAUUUUAUUAGACAGUAUAGGAAGAAAAUAAUAGAAUCUAUGAACAGGCAGUCACUAUCAGCAAAUUCUAUUAGCAAACAGAUAAAUUUCAAGCCAGCUUAUUGUUUUUUAGAGAGGUUUUGAUUAUUUCAGGAGACCAAAAUUGACUUAGGUAAGAUUAUCCUCAUCACUUAGAUUGAAAGAGAGUACUUUGCACUGACUAGAAAAGGAUGUAAAGUUUUACGUAUGUGUUUUUGUAUGUGUCCUGAUUCACAAGCAAAACAAUGAGCACUAGGCACAAUAAGAUGUAAAUAACCCUGUCAGGUCUUGGUGGCAAGUGUCAGUCUUCUCCUAGAGCUGGGUAGUGCACACACCCUCCACAGCACUAUUUAAUGUCACAGUCAAGACACCUCCAGAUGCCAGUAAAAUGUCAGGACGUCUUAGUCCUUUUAGGAAAACUAAUUUAUUGAACACUGCUGUAGGACAAUAUAUAGGAAAUAUAUGCCAGGAAAUAACUGGUACUGGAAACAGACAAAAGCAGUGAGAAAAGGUAAAGGAGGUGGAUGUUGACACAGGUUCCCGGUAUAGACUAGAUAGAUGAGAGUUAUAAACUGGAGGCAGUAUCACUAUCUCACCUGUGCUGCCACUGCAGCUAGUUAAUGAGGUAAUUUCAUAUAUUCUUUGAAUGCAAAACAGAAUAGAAGCAUUACUGUUGAAUUUUCUUUAAGGCUCAGGCACCUGCUCAGUGCUUUGUGCAUGCUGCUGCCAACAGUUUACAUUAUAGAAGUACCACUGUUUUGAUCAAUUGCUUGUUGUCCUAAUAAGGGUGCAUACAACCUCUGCUUUGCAAGAGUACUACAAAAUAAACAGCUUUUUGAAUCCAACAAAUCUCAGUUUUAAAAGCUUUUGUAAAUCAAUUUGGUUAUGUCAUAUAGUUUCAUUGGAAAAUGUGAAAACAACACUUGUUACUGUGAGCUAAGCUUGCAAAGGGCAGCAUGCUAUUAUUUUUACAGGCCAAUACGUUCCAUUUUCAGUUCCUG
ensembl:lncRNA